AACCUCCGCAAUGUGAGAAAUCGCGACGGGGGGAUCCCAAGUGCCAUUCUUAACGGGAUGGCUUUUCAUUAGUGUAAAAAGCUUUUGGAAUAAGAGCUGGGCAAGACCGGUGCCAGCCGCCGCGGUAACACCGGCAGCUCUAGUGGUAGCAAUUUUUAUUGGGCCUAAAGCGUUCGUAGCCGGUUUGAUAAGUCACUGGUGAAAUCCUGUAGCUUAACUGUGGGAAUUGCUGGUGAUACUGUUGAACUUGAGGUCGGGAGAGGUUAGCGGUACUCCCAGGGUAGAGGUGAAAUUUUGUAAUCCUGGGAGGACCACCUGUGGCGAAGGCGGCUAACUGGAACGAACCUGACGGUGAGGGACGAAAGCUAGGGGCGCGAACCGGAUUAGAUACCCGGGUAGUCCUAGCCGUAAACGAUGCGGACUUGGUGUUGGGAUGGCUUUGAGCCGCUCCGGUGCCGAAGGGAAGCUGUUAAGUCCGCCGCCUGGGAAGUACGGUCGCAAAAGUAAAACUUAAAGGAAUU
rnacentral:rRNA from 1 species